rnacentral:lncRNA from 1 species
AUGGCCCCUUCCGUGUUCAAAGCCAGCAAUGGCGAGCCGUUCUGCACCACCCUGACCCUGAUUCUUCUUCACCUCCUCCUUCCACGUGUACGGCCCCUUGUGACUGGGGCCCACCUGGAUAAACCAGGUCAUUCUCCUGGGCCGCGCAGGCCACAGCUGGUCCUGAAGGUGGACAAGGCCGUGGACAGGGCUGGCCUCAGGCCUCGACCACCAUGGAUGGGAGCCCAGACCAAUCUCUCUCAGGCUCAACAGGUCGGAGCCCGCAGGUGCCGGGGCCAGGAGAGAACACCUGGAAGCUCUGCAGGGUGGGGAGAAAGAGCACCUGGUACCUUCAACUCCAGGGACCCGAUGGAUCCUGCCCCCCGCCAAGAUCACAUGGGGGAAGGAGCUAAGUUCGCCCCAGAGAGGACAGGCGCUGGAAGCUGGGAGCAGCCAAAACACAAACGGCAACACAUGCCCACCAUACACCAGAGGAGCAGCUCAUGGAUGGCAACAGUGGCAUCAGCUAGUCAGGUCUUUAAACUUAGAGAAUAUCCAGAUGAUGACAUCACCUACGGAUGAAUGAAGAGCAAAAGACUUUGUGUGGCUACAUUCUCCUACUCCACAUGGGGCCACAUUCGAAGCACACAUUUACAGGUGCAACACCUGGGGGGUUGGCUGGGGAGGUCCUCUCUACACGGACACUUGAAAAUGACUCAAAUCUCCUCCUCCAUGGAGUUUGCUUCACUGAUGGUGCAGUUUCUACUUCAUGCAGACAGAGAGGACGGUGUGAACAACCAAUGGAGACCUCAUCAGAGGUCUGGUCAGGCCCUACCAGAUGCGGCGACAGGCCCAUGAACACCCUGAAAUUGUGUAGAAAACGUUGCAUGUGUGCACACGUAGUUUUUCUGGAGCCAGGUCAGAGCUUUCAUGGGACCCUCAGAUGAAAACAAACACUGUUCUAGAAUAAUGCUUCCUCAACCUUUUCCUGAUGCCCCUGAGGCCUGAAGGGAUACUCUGAGAGAUCAAUUUCCAUCCCACCCAUUCAAGUCAGGCAUAUAAUCCUACCUUCUCGGUCAACACUCCGGACCCACAGGCUCCCUCCCUGCCACCAGAAGCCAGAGUCCUACACCUGACUUGGGUGUUGAAAAGUUGUCUCAUCUGAACACAUCCAGACAGAACUCUUGAUUCGUGUUGCACCCCCCUUCUUUGCCCAGUCUUCCCUAUCACAGUUAAUGAUGACCUUCUUUUCUAGGAAGAGGGAGAACUGUUAAGCUCUGGGUUCAAAUCCCAGCUUUUCUGCUUGCUGGCUGUGUGACUUUAUGCAAACUGAUUAAACUCCCUGUGCCUCAGUGCUGCCUUCUGUGAAAUAUAAACUCUCUGGGCCUUCUUCUUC